rnacentral:misc_RNA from 1 species
AUGCAGCGCAUGCAUGGUACAUUGUUCAUCAAAACUCGACUAGCCAGCGGUUCGAUAAAACCAAAUUACGCUCUCCGACCUAUUUUUGCGUUGCAUGUUUGAGCUUCAGGUUCGAUGUUCGAUGAUGCAGCAGUGUGACCGUCUGACCUCAAAGAUAUACCAGACAAAUGAGAUGACAAAUACCUGAUCAAUUUGUGGUAAAUUAGUGGAAUAGAAAGUAAAAUUUAAUCUCCGCCGAAGCUGAGGGAUCCCAGACCCAAAGACCUCUGGAGGAUCGCGUAGCAAUUUCUGUUUGGACGUUUCCGCUGUAUAAACAGGCGCAUCUAUAUACUGGUUCCACCAUGGUUAGAGUUUGAAAUUCCGUUACAAAUAUGCUAAUAUGUAUAAUUCUGAUAAGGUAAUCAUUCCCAUAGGACCCGCCCCCUGCAAAUUAAAAAACAAAAAACACCUGCACUUUCAGUUUCUGUAUGUUUAUUGGAAAAUUUGAUUAGAUUUCAAAAAUAUUUUAAGACUAUGGGCUUGUGGGUGAUUCGUUAAGCGCAGAGAACUCGGAAUGAGGGUGUUCUCGGUCUUUUUGUGAAUAAUACAUUGUGUGUUGGCUAAAAAGAAGGUUCAUGCAAAUGAUUUACGGUUAUAGGCAAUAUUUUGGGGUAUUUCGGGUUUGGUUUUCGCUUUUCUAGUCAAAACAUGGAGAACUAAAUCCCUUUGUCUUGCGGCCAAAGUUAUCAGCCAUGUGUGUGGUGUGGGAGGCAACAGCACCAAUGAAUACGGAGGAUAUUGUAUUUGAUGUACAAUUAAAAAUAUAUAAACUCAAAAUAAAAAUGUAAAAAAUAGAUCUUGCAAUCGAACAUACCACUGAAAGACGAGAGGGAGACCAGAGGGCUGAGAUCAAACCAGACCAAGGACCACACGGCCAGCCACUAUCCAGCAACGUUCAAAUGUGGCACAGCAACUCCUGAUUGACAUGGAUAGCGAUAUCGACAUGGAGGGCACAGGGCGCAAAGGCCACGAAAUGAGUGUCUGUGCGUGUGUUUGAGUUUGAAUGUGUCUCUGUGAGUAAUCCCAAUCCGACAAAGGGCGACAACAACUCGGGGGGGCUGAGACCUGUCCAGUUCCAGGCGAAACUCGAACCAAAUCCUAUUCCCAAUUGUGAGACGAGUGCUGAAGCAGCCGAAUCCGAAGCCGAAUUCCUUGACAUGAGUCCUGUCCAAGUGCAUCAUCCUCCACCUCCACUCCACACAUCCAUUGCCCUCAACACAAGACCAUUAAUUAUCCAAUUACCGAAAAGACACAGACACAAUGUGGGGGCAUCCGCAUCCCGCAUCCGCGUCCCGAAUUGCCAUAGCAAUAGGUGAAACAAUUGGAAUGUGUCUGUUCGUCUCCUCCAUGGGUUCAGAGUUCAUUAAUCAGGUUACGGAGCGAGUUAGCCGUGGGGAACUGCAAUCCUAAUAUCCAAAUCCUGAUAAUCCAAAUCGAAUCCUGAUACCAUCUCAAAGAUACACUCAUUUAGAGAGAGAGAGAUAGAUCUAUGUCCUAUUGUCCUGCCUCCACUAAUUUCAAUCCAAAUUUAUCCACAAUCCACUCCAAAAUCCAAAAUUAACAUCAAAAUAUCCUUCCUUCUUCAUCCUCCAUUAAUCUUCAUCCUCCUCCUCAUUAUACUCCAAACAUAAACGCGCAAAAUGGGGAAGAGAAGAAAAUAAAAAUUAAAUAUUAAUAAUUUGUUGAUAAAAUGUUCGCGGCAUUGCGUUUUGUGUUCUGGUUUUUUUGGUUUUGGUUUCAUUUUCGUUAUCAUUACAGGCAUAUUUAUUCGGAAUCGAUGUUCUUUUUUCUUGUUUUGUUUUUGUUGCUUUUGCUUUUUUAGGGUAAAUUCUAAAAAAAUGCUUGGUAGUUGCAGCCAAGUAAUAAAAUAUUGGCGAAUAGAGGCCAGUUGCAGACAAUUAAAAUCGAUAAAA